rnacentral:sRNA from 1 species
AAUCGGCGUACAGCGACGGGGACGUGUCCCCAGUGCGGUGCCGAGGGAGCCGAGCCCCACCAACAGCGGCUUAACCUCUAAAAGAGGAUAUGGCACCGCCCAUGUGCCGGAAAGGUGAAAAACGGAGUGACGGGUAGAGUUUGGUAGGUCGGUAACGGCUCGAAGAACUUGGACC